CGUUGCCAUGAACUUGCCAACGGUUGCAUUGGUUGAUGCGGAUGUAUAAUUGCAGGUGUCAAUCUAAAGACCUUGCUCAGAACCCAGACGCAGUUUCACUGGGAAAGCAUUAGUCCUGAUAAGCUCAAUGUCAACGGUGUCAAAGAACCACUGCACAAUGGAGUCAUUUGGCUGUUUCUCUAUCUAUGAGCCUUUAAGGCUCUACUGACUUUUGAUGAUAAAUGCGACGGUAAUAUGUGUAAAAUUAUGACUGUUCUUCCAAUUCUUCUGUAUUCUUAGGUAUGCAUAAAAACACUAUUGCAGUAUGUUUUUGAUAUGUUCCGAGACCAGCCCGUCUGGUGGAUGACUCAUCGUGCAGAUAAACCAUCACUGUGGCUGGACUUCAUGACGAUCAGGGCUCUGUCAGGCGUGCGGGGAAGGGAAUCCCGUCUGAGACGGAGCGCCUGUGUGUGCGCGGAUGUUCCCGGAUAGCCGACCAUUAUUGCGGAUGAGUCAUCGGCAGAAGCCCUGCUGGAUGGGUGCGGAGUUGCACUCUGCAGGCCAAACCCCUGUUAUGCUUAGUAAGACUUCACCAGGCUUCUAAUGAUGUGCAAUGGAACCGGUCCCAGUGAACCCAGCGGUCCGACCUAUCAGGAAGCAAUCACCAGUCUAAUCAGCCAUAAAGAUGAUGUCUCAGCAUAGACAACAGGUGCCGUGGAGCUGAUCUAUAUUCCUGCGGGACAGAAUUUUCUUUCCGGAGAGAACGCCUGUGUCACUCUUUUUCUCUCAAGUCCCCACCAGGCAGCAUAACCGAUGUCCGCGUCCUGCGUCUCUCUCUGGCUGUGUUGCCAUAGCAACUGCAGCGAUGGGGAACACUGUGUUCCUUCCCUCUGCAAGUGGGUCACGGACAAAACGCCACGUACAGAACCGUAUUGAAUGGCUGGUGCUCCACACGACAUUGCAAGUGACCUAUAUCACACUUCCAAACCGGAAUCCCCGCCGGCUGCGUGACAGCCAUGCAUAAGUGAGAGGAGUUUGUAGCGUUUUUCCACAACUCCAAAGUGAUCGAGUUGUGGAAGCAAAAAAGUUGCUGAUGGUUAUUUUCAGCGGCACAACAACCUCGUUCAGGGUAUGAAUUAAGAGGCAUGAGAAGCGAGUCGGAAUGUGUGGAGAUUAUCUGAAAGAUAGACCCAAAGAGAUCCAAACUGCCUUCAGGGUACAGCUGGGAUAAUUUAAAGAAAAAAUGCUAAAUAUGCAGCAGCUUCAAUUGUAAGAUAAUGGUCGGACUAUAACAUUUGGGAUGCAUUGCGUGUUGUUAAGUGAUUUAAAGGAGUUUAUUUAAAAUUUAUUAAUUUCUCAAUCAUGUCAGAUUAGUAAAACAGUUUUUGCAACAUCAAUUUUUAUUGUGACUGGGAUUGUCAAGCCCCCCCCCCAAAAAAAGAACACAGGCGUAAGAGUCUAAAUGACCACAGAAGCAGUUGAAUGUAUUAUUGACUUGGCAGUUUUAGUGGUGUGGAUGUGAUUUUCCCUCAAAACUUAGAAGUAGACAACCAUCUGUUUAUGAACCAUCUGUUUAUAUUUGAUUAAACUCCUGUCGAUAGAGUCCUAUCGAAACAAUGCUUCACAUGCUUUGAAACCUUAAAGGAACAGUUUAACCCCCAAAU